AUCCGGAAUCAUUGGGCGUAAAGCGCCUGUAGGUUGUUUAAUAAGUCUGUUGUUAAAGACUAGGGCUUAACCCUAGAAAAGCAAUGGAAACUACUAGACUAGAGUAUGGCAGGGGUAGAGGGAAUUUCUAGUGUAGCGGUGAAAUGCGUAGAUAUUAGAAAGAACACCGGUGGCGAAAGCGCUCUACUGGACCAUUACUGACACUCAGAGGCGAAAGCUAGGGUAGCAAAAGGGAUUAGAUACCCCUGUAGUCCUAGCCGUAAACGAUGGAUACUAGAUGUUGUGCAUAAUGUACAGUAUCGUAGCUAACGCGUUAAGUAUCCCGCCUGGGGAGUACGCUCGCAAGGGUGAAACUCAAAGGAAUUGACGGGGGCCCGCACAAGCGGUGGAGCAUGUGGUUUAAUUCGAUGCAACGCGAAGAACCUUACCAGGGCUUGACAUACUACAGAUUCUUUUGAGAAAAAGAAGUGCCUUCGGGAAUGUAGAUACAGGUGGUGCAUGGCUGUCGUCAGCUCGUGUCGUGAGAUGCUGGGUUAAGUCCCGCAACGAGCGCAACCCUUAUUUUUAGUUACUAAUUCGUUAGGUUCUCUAGAAAGACUGCCGGUGACAAACCGGAGGAAGGUGAGGAUGACGUCAAGUCAGCAUGCCCCUUAUGUCCUGGGCUACACACGUGCUACAAUGGUUAAGACAAAGAGUCGCGAGCUCGCGAGAGUCAGCUAAUCUCAUAAACUUAGCCUAAGUUCAGAUUGUAGGCUGCAA
rnacentral:rRNA from 1 species